AUGCAUUGUGUGAUGCUAUGGAGUCCCACCUGGAAGGUGCUACAGAGGUUGGAGUGGUGGCUGACACAGGUGAAGGUCACAGUGCUUAGUGCUGAAGAGGAUCAGACUGUUUUGGAGGACACUGUGUGGGGGCCUGGCUUGGAGUCUGAUGUUGGAGAAGUACAGUGGAUUGAGGAAUGGUGCUUCUGCUCUUCCCAGACACACCUAUAGGUUUGCACAAGAAGAGCCACCUUGCACCUGCUUUUGUGCAGCCCAAAUGCUGCUCACGACCAACACUUUUCAGCAUCAAUUUUAUCAAGUUGAUUCAAGU
rnacentral:lncRNA from 1 species